AUUGAACGCUGGCGGCAGGCCUAACACAUGCAAGUCGGGCGAAUCUAGCUUGCUAGAUGAGCGGCGAACGGGUGAGUAACGCGUAGGAAUCUGCCUGGUAGUGGGGGACAACGUUCCGAAAGGGACGCUAAUACCGCAUACGCCCUACGGGGGAAAGCUGGGGACCUUCGGGCCUAGCGCUAUCAGAUGAGCCUGCGUCGGAUUAGCUAGUUGGUGGGGUAAAGGCCCACCAAGGCGACGAUCCGUAACUGGUCUGAGAGGAUGAUCAGUCACACCGGAACUGAGACACGGUCCGGACUCCUACGGGAGGCAGCAGUGGGGAAUAUUGGACAAUGGGGGCAACCCUGAUCCAGCCAUGCCGCGUGUGUGAAGAAGGCCUUCGGGUUGUAAAGCACUUUAGGUCGGGAGGAAGGUUCGCUGGCUAAUAUCCAGCGGAAUUGACGUUACCGACAGAAUAAGCACCGGCUAACUCCGUGCCAGCAGCCGCGGUAA
rnacentral:rRNA from 1 species